rnacentral:rRNA from 1 species
CUACACAUGCAGUCGAGCGGAUGAAGGGAGCUUGCUCCUGGAUUCAGCGGCGGACGGGUGAGUAAUGCCUAGGAAUCUGCCUGGUAGUGGGGGAUAACGUCCGGAAACGGGCGCUAAUACCGCAUACGUCCUGAGGGAGAAAGUGGGGGAUCUUCGGACCUCACGCUAUCAGAUGAGCCUAGGUCGGAUUAGCUAGUUGGUGGGGUAAAGGCCUACCAAGGCGACGAUCCGUAACUGGUCUGAGAGGAUGAUCAGUCACACUGGAACUGAGACACGGUCCAGACUCCUACGGGAGGCAGCAGUGGGGAAUAUUGGACAAUGGGCGAAAGCCUGAUCCAGCCAUGCCGCGUGUGUGAAGAAGGUCUUCGGAUUGUAAAGCACUUUAAGUUGGGAGGAAGGGCAGUAAGUUAAUACCUUGCUGUUUUGACGUUACCAACAGAAUAAGCACCGGCUAACUUCGUGCCAGCAGCCGCGGUAAUACGAAGGGUGCAAGCGUUAAUCGGAAUUACUGGGCGUAAAGCGCGCGUAGGUGGUUCAGCAAGUUGGAUGUGAAAUCCCCGGGCUCAACCUGGGAACUGCAUCCAAAACUACUGAGCUAGAGUACGGUAGAGGGUGGUGGAAUUUCCUGUGUAGCGGUGAAAUGCGUAGAUAUAGGAAGGAACACCAGUGGCGAAGGCGACCACCUGGACUGAUACUGACACUGAGGUGCGAAAGCGUGGGGAGCAAACAGGAUUAGAUACCC